UAUACCAAAAAUAUAAGUGAAAAAACAGUGAAACUAGAAAAGAAACAAAAGACCAAAGAAAAAGAAGAAAAGAAGAAAGGGAAAACCAGUGAAACCGAGAAAAGAAAGAAAAACCCAGUGAAAGAACAACCAAAGAAAAACAUGAAGAAAAGAGGUAAAAGGAAAGGAAACAAAAAAGAAAUGAAAAUAAGAAAAAAAAACA
rnacentral:lncRNA from 1 species